GGGGUCGUAUUGGAUUUGACAGCAAAUGCGAUUGUCAAGUGUAAGCAUGUAGAGCGUUGAGGUGGAGCUCUUUAAUAUCCUGUCUCGAACAAUAAUUGACAACACGUCAUACGCACUUGCUGCUUAAUUAACUGAAUGUUAAUUGGCUUAAUCUCGGUGAAGUAUAGUAGCCCUGACAAGUACUCUCUUCAGAACGCUGCCCAUUCGUUCUGAUUCACGGGAGUUCAUCCUUUUGGGCUAGUUGGAGUGACGAUUCUAAGCUCCUGCGAAAUCACAGAAUCUAAGUUGUGAACUUGGGUGUUCUUGUCCGUUUCACAAUCGAAAAUCAAUCAAGAAAUAAACAUGUAGAAAGCUUGCUGAUUCUUUGUUUGGACGAGGGUUCGAUCCCCUCCGACUCCACUA
rnacentral:tmRNA from 1 species